rnacentral:rRNA from 1 species
GGGCCCGCACAAGCAGUGGAGUAUGUGGUUUAAUUCGAAGCAACGCGAAGAACCUUACCUGGGCUUGACAUCCUCGGAAUCCGCAAGAGAUUGCGGAGUGCCUUCGGGAGCCGAGAGACAGGUGGUGCAUGGUUGUCGUCAGCUCGUGUCGUGAGAUGUUGGGUUAAGUCCCGCAACGAGCGCAACCCCUAUUGUUAGUUGCCAUCAUUAAGUUGGGCACUCUAGCGAGACUGCCGGUGACAAAUCGGAGGAAGGUGGGGACGACGUCAAAUCAUCAUGCCCCUUAUGUCCAGGGCUACACACGUACUACAAUGGCCGAUAACAGAGUGCAGCGAAGCCGUGAGGCGGAGCGAAUCACAAAACUCGGUCCCAGUUCAGAUUGCAGGCUGCAACUCGCCUGCAUGAAGUCGGAAUUGCUAGUAAUCGCGAAUCAGAAUGUCGCGGUGAAUACGUUCCCGGGCCUU